rnacentral:lncRNA from 1 species
GGGUGGUGCCUGACAAAGGUCACUGUCCAGAGCAGCUGGGCCCGAGGGGAGGGCAUGGCAUUGGCCACGGCUUGGUUCAGCUCGGCUCAGUGACAAGGGAGCCCCUCCCAGGUGCUGGGGGAUCUGAGAUAGUUUGUCAGCAACAUCCGGCCCCAUGACCGAAGUAUUAUGAAGGAACAAUGAAGCUCUUGGACCUAGAAAACAGGGCAGGGGAGAGAAAGGAAUCUAAGGAGAUUUGAGGAACAGAAGUGGACCCAAAGACUAACAAAGGCCCUCAUCGAUCGUUCCAGAGAAGAAUCAAUCAGAAAGGUUGAUGGAGACUUUCAGCUAACUGGACAGAGGCCCCUCAGGUGCCACCUCAGACCCCAGGACCCUAAUGAAAACCUCGGACCAAACACAGAUGCCGCCACUGAGUCAGGCUGGCCCUGGUGCUUUCUCACCGUCCUUCACUCUGUGGAGUGUACUUGGGUCCUGCUCAGUUCUUCAUUCCGGAUGCCAAAAGCCUGGAUGCAAGGUACACGUCCACUUUGGAAACUGGUUGGCAUUCCUAAUCAUGAACAUGUGGCUCACGCCUGUAAUCCCGGCCUUCAGGAAAGCUGAGGUGGGAGAAUCCCAAGGUCAAGCCCAGCUGGGGCAACUGAGUGACUGAGCAAGGCCUGAUCUCCAAAUAACAAAAGGGCUAGGGAUGUAGCUUAGUGUAGUUGCCCUGGGUUAUCCCUAGUUCCACAGGAAGAAAAACAGCAACAUGAAUUCCCAUGACCAGCCGCUCCACCCCGUGCUACCCAGCAGGAUGUAUUCGUUGUGAACCCAAAACACGCUGCAGAGUGCUGGUGGGCGUGACUGCCCCUGGGGACCAGCCAGGAUGAGAAAUGCUGCUACGUUCACAGCGAGCAUUGACCAGGCACCAGAAUGGGACAAAUCCCAUGAAAUUCGUGUUAAGCAAGCACAAAAGAGAGAACAUCCUGGAUGGUUUUAUUUCUAUAAAAUGCAGACAGCAGGCAAAGCUAUAUUCUGAAGUGAGAGA